GAUGAACGCUGGCGGCGUGCCUAAUACAUGCAAGUCGAGCGAACGGACGAGAAGCUUGCUUCUCUGAUGUUAGCGGCGGACGGGUGAGUAACACGUGGAUAACCUACCUAUAAGACUGGGAUAACUUCGGGAAACCGGAGCUAAUACCGGAUAAUAUUUUGAACCGCAUGGUUCAAAAGUGAAAGACGGUCUUGCUGUCACUUAUAGAUGGAUCCGCGCUGCAUUAGCUAGUUGGUAAGGUAACGGCUUACCAAGGCAACGAUGCAUAGCCGACCUGAGAGGGUGAUCGGCCGCAGUGGAACUGAGACACGGUCCAGACUCCUACGGGAGGCAGCAGUAGGGAAUCUUCCGCAAUGGGCGAAAGCCUGACGGAGCAACGCCGCGUGAGUGAUGAAGGUCUUCGGAUCGUAAAACUCUGUUAUUAGGGAAGAACAUAUGUGUAAGUAACUGUGCACAUCUUGACGGUACCUAAUCAGAAAGCCACGGCUAACUACGUG
rnacentral:rRNA from 1 species